UACGGGGGGGGUAAGCGUUGUUCGGAAUUACUGGGCGUAAAGGGCGCGUAGGCGGGAUGGCAAGUCGGUCGUGAAAUCUCUCGGCUCAACCGAGAAACGUCGGCCGAUACUGCCGUUCUUGAGGGAUGCAGAGGAGACUGGAAUUCCCGGUGUAGCGGUGAAAUGUGUAGAGAUCGGGAGGAACACCGGUGGCGAAGGCGGGUCUCUGGGCAUUUCCUGACGCUGAGGCGCGAAAGCGUGGGGAGCAAACGGG
rnacentral:rRNA from 1 species